CGCACACUCGCUGCGUCUUCGUUCCCGUUUCUUCAUUCACGCCCCUUCCGUCCUUCCUCUCUCCCUCUACUUAGCGGCUGGUAUUGUUCUGCUUCCGGGUCCAAGGUCAGCGGGAAAAAUGGUGCCGCCCGUGAAUGUCUCCCCGCUCAUCAAGGUGGGACGGUAUUCGGCCCUGCUCUUGGGUGUAGUCUACGGAUCGAAGCGCUAUGCUUACCUAAAGCCCCGGGCAGAAAAAGAACGGAAGCUAGCGGCCGAGCAGAAAAAGAAGGAAGAAGAGAUGAGGAGGGUUCAGCAGCAAUUGGAAGAAGCCCGAGGCGACACCAUAUUGAAAUAAAAAAUUUGCUGUUUUCUUCUGCAAGAGUUACGUUCUAAUAAAGCUUUCUAUAAUGUA